rnacentral:rRNA from 1 species
GACGUAGGGGACGAGCGUUGUCCGGAAUCAUUGGGCGUAAAGGGCGCGUAGGCGGCACUGUUAGUCAGGCGUGAAAUUCCUGGGCUCAACCUGGGGACUGCGCUUGAUACGGCAGAGCUAGAGGAUGGAAGAGGCUCGCGGAAUUCCCAGUGUAGAGGUGAAAUUCGUAGAUAUUGGGAAGAACACCGGUGGCGAAGGCGGCGAGCUGGUCCAUUACUGACGCUGAGGCGCGACAGCGUGGGGGAGCAAACAGG